GACGAACGCUGGCGGCGUGCUUAACACAUGCAAGUCGAGCGGAGCGGCGAACGGGUGAAUAAGUCGUGAGUAACUGCCCACCUCUCUGGGAUAACAGUUGAAAACGGCUGCUCAUACCCGAUAGUGGGGGCUGACUUGCGUCCUAUCAGCUUGUGGGUGGGGUAGUGGCUUACCACGGCGAAGACGGGUCGCCGGCCUGAGAGGGCGACCGGCCACAGUGGUUGGGGCUGCGGCCCGAACGCCAACGGGAGGCAGCAGUGAGGAAUAUAGCACAAUGGGGGAAGCCAUGAUGCAGCAACGCCGGGUGGGGAAGGACUGCCUUCGGGGUGUAAACCGCUUUCAGCCAUGACGCGGUAGUGGAAGAAGAAGCAACGGCUAACUACGUGCCAGCCGCCGCGGUAAUAC
rnacentral:rRNA from 1 species